rnacentral:rRNA from 1 species
UACCCGCAGCUCAAGUGGUGGUCAAUAUUAUUGGGCCUAAAGCGUCCGUAGCUGGCUUGUUAGAUGCCUGGGUAAAUCGAUGCGCUUAACGCAUCGAAUUCCGGGUAGACCGGCAAGCUCGAGACCGGGAGAGGCGUGAGCUACUCAAGGGGUAGGGGUAAAAUCCUGUAAUCCUUUGGGGAGGACCAGUGGCGAAGGCGUCACGCUAGAACGGCUCUGACAGUGAGGGACGAAGCCCUGGGGCGCAAACCGG